AUGUUGAUUCAGGCUUCCAUACUUCUUCAUUGCUAAGAAUAUUAUUCAAUUGCAUGAGUGAGCCUGAAUUUUUUUAUCCAGUUACCUGUUGGGAAAUUGGACUGGUUCCAAAACAUAAAACUCAUAUAUAAAACUGCUAUAAACAUUCAUCUAAAGGUCUUUGCAUAACAGUAAACUGCCUUAUUAAAAGAUUAUUUUUACUUUUUACCUCUACUGUUUCCCUCUGGUUUAAAGUGUAUGGGAAAAAAAAAGUCUAUGGAAAUUUUCGUUGGUGGAACCUCUGAACUACACAUGACACACCUUUUGAAGAGAUACCUCCCUUUCAAAGAAGAGAUUUCCAGAAUUCCCAGAUAAUUGCCAAAGAAUCUGUUACUGUGAGAAGUAUUAGAUUGGAAUUACAUUUUCUACCAGAAUUUAUUUUAUGCUCAAAGUGAAUCACUUGCUUGACAUGAAAUUCUUGGUCUUUUUAGUUCACAAAAGUGUUAUCUAUGUUAUUUGCAGAUGUAAUGGUGUCUACCUGAUGACCCAGCUUCUGGGGAGGCUGAAGCAGGAUGAAAACAGGGU